CAUAGUUUUGAUUUAUUUAUUUUUAGCACAACACCAGAACAACCCCACGUACCCAUAAUUUGCGGUACUUCAGAAAAAAAGGAGUGAACAUAAAAGGGAGUAAAAUGUUGUGUCAGGUAAUUUGAAAUGCAGCAUUUCUAUCACCUCAACAAACACUAACUGUGUCACAGUGUGUUGCUAGCUAAAGCUCCACGUGCUGUAUUUCACAGGAAGAGAAAGAAUGAGAGCUAACUUCACUCAGAGAUAUAGAAAGAAAGAGAAAGAAACCAGGCUGUAUUUAAAGAUGUCUUGAAAACAAGUUUUAACAAAGUCCUGGAGAAGUGCCCAAAGCUGGAGGACCUCCUGCUUUACCCCUGGCUCAGAUAAACUCCUCUCUGACACAAACACACACGCAUACUGAAUUCACAUCUUGCCAUACAAAUGUGAUACACUAACCAACUUUCUUUC